rnacentral:rRNA from 1 species
AGUGAACGCUGGCGGUAGGCCUAACACAUGCAAGUCGAACGGCAGCACUGGAGAGCUUGCUCUCUGGGUGGCGAGUGGCGGACGGGUGAGGAAUACAUCGGAAUCUACCUUUUCGUGGGGGAUAACGUAGGGAAACUUACGCUAAUACCGCAUACGACCUACGGGUGAAAGUGGGGGACCGCAAGGCCUCACGCGAUUAGAUGAGCCGAUGUCCGAUUAGCUAGUUGGCGGGGUAAUGGCCCACCAAGGCGACGAUCGGUAGCUGGUCUGAGAGGAUGAGCAGCCACACUGGAACUGAGACACGGUCCAGACUCCGACGGGAGGCAGCAGUGGGGAAUAUUGGACAAUGGGCGCAAGCCUGAUCCAGCCAUACCGCGUGGGUGAAGAAGGCCUUCGGGUUGUAAAGCCCUUUUGUUGGGAAAGAAAUCCUGUCGAUUAAUACUCGGUGGGGAUGACGGUACCCAAAGAAUAAGCACCGGCUAACUUCGUGCCAGCCGCCGCCGUAAAAC